rnacentral:lncRNA from 1 species
UUAGCUUGGCAGACACGCAUGCAUGCGUUCUGGCUGGUGAACGCCAGACGCGUAUAAUACGGGUGCAGCUGGAAAACUGAUAAGCAUGCCAAGGCGAAGCUACCGGGGCUCCUGCAUGGAAGUUACGCACAUCAGCACAUGAGAGAAAGGAUUAGUUAAGGGUGCCUCGUGUUGUGUUGGGUGACUACCUCUGGCUUGCUUGCAAAGGUAUCGUAGUAUGCACACG